AUUGAACGCUGGCGGCAGGCCUAACACAUGCAAGUCGAACGGUAACAGGAAGAAGCUUGCUUCUUUGCUGAUGAGUGGCGGACGGGUGAGUAAUGUCUGGGAAACUGUCUGAUGGAGGGGGAUAACUACUGGAAACGGUUGCUACUACCGCAUAACGUCGCAAGACCAAAGAGGGGGAGCUUCGGGCCUCUUGCCAUCGGAUGUGCCCAGGUGGGAUUAGCUAGUAGGUGGGGUAACGGCUCACCUAGGCGACGAUCCCUAGCUGGUCUGAGAGGAUGAGCAGCCACACUGGAACUGAGACACGGUCCAGACUCCUACGGGAGGCAGCAGUGGGGAAUAUUGCACAAUGGGCGCAAGCCUGAUGCAGCCAUGCCGCGUGUAUGAAGAAGGCCUUCGGGUUGUAAAGUACUUUCAGCGGGGAGGAAGGGAGUAAGGUUAAUACCUUGGCUCAUUGACGUUACCCGCAGAAGAAGCACCGGCUAACUCCGUG
rnacentral:rRNA from 1 species